rnacentral:lncRNA from 9 species
ACAUGAUGUACCCACUGCUGCCUUAAGCACUGGAACUGGAACUGGGAGAAAGACACGGAAUCUUCUUUCAUGGAGCUUGUGGCUCACAGUGCAGACACCACACAGAGUCUAGAGAGGGCACAGGAACGUCUUCCCGGCAAAGGGCACCAUUCGUCCAGCAUCUGAAAGUUGAAGAGCAGCUGGGCACGGGAUGUUGGUGUGAUUUGCCUGCCUUGUGUGCUGAGAACUGGGAUGCCAAGACAGGGAUUGAACACACCUCCCUUCCUGACUGCAAACCUGGUCAUUUUCUCACUACAACAUUAGAGUAAAUUGCAAAUAGGCUGCAGGUGCCUCGGAGGAUGACCCUGGUAUACACUCCAAACUGUCCUUACCCCUGACCUUGGGAUGCCCGGGGCAUAACACAGAAUGUCUAGAAGAUGGUUCAACAAUCAGCUAGCUGCC